CCUACGGGUGGCAGCAGUGGGGAAUUUUGGACAAUGGGGGCAACCCUGAUCCAGCCAUUCCGCGUGAGUGAAGAAGGCCUUCGGGUUGUAAAGCUCUUUCGGCCGGGAAGAAAUCGCAUCUCCUAAUACGGGGUGUGGAUGACGGUACCGGAAGAAGAAGCACCGGCUAACUACGUGCCAGCAGCCGCGGUAAUCCGUAGGGUGCGAGCGUUAAUCGGACGCACUGGGCGUAAAGCGUGCGCAGGCGGCUCCCCGGGCUUAAGCUGGGAGCUGCGUUUGUGACUGGUGGGCUUGAGUGCGGCAGAGGGGGGGGGAAUUCCACGUGUAGCGGUGAAAGGCGUAGAGAUGUGGAGGAACACCGAUGGCGAAGGCAGCCCCCUGGGUCGACACUGACGCUCAUGCACGAAAGCGUGGGGAGCAAACAGGAUUAGAUACCCCAGUAGUC
rnacentral:rRNA from 1 species